UAUCCCAAAUUUCCAGCUCAUUAUCCCAAAUUCCAGCUCAUUAUCCCAAAUUUCCAGUUCAUUAUCCCGAAUUCCAGCUCAAUAUCCCGAAUUUCCAGCUCAAUAUCCCGAAUUUCCAGCUCAUUAUCCCAAAUUUUGGCUCCGUCCCUUCCUUCCCAUCCGUUAUCCCAAAGCUCUUCCCGGCUCCUCCUUUCCCAUGAAUUUUUUGGGACCCAAAUCCCAAAAUCCCAUCCCCUUUAUCCAAUCCCAAUCCCAAAAUCCCAAAUUUACCCAAAUUCCCAACAUUUUCUCCUCUUUUUCUUUGGGAAAAAAAACCUGGAAAUAACGGAAUUUCCUUGGGAAUUCCAUGGAUUUAUUUAUAAUAUUUACAAAUCCCAAGGAAAAAAAAAAAAGGGAAUUUUUCCAUCGGGACAUUCCCAAACCCAUUGGAAUUCCCAAAAAUCUCCCCCCUGGGAAACAGGAUGGGAAUUCUUGGAAUAUUUUGGGAAUUUGCUGCUCUGGGCACCGGAUCCACCCAGAAAUUCCAGGAAUUUUGGGAAUUUCGCACCCAGGGCAUCAAAUCCAAAUGAGAAUUUUGGGAAUUUUUUGCUCAGGGCAUCAAAUCCCACCUGGAAUUCCAGAAAUUUCCUGGGAACACCUCCGGCAUUUCCGGCUCCGGGGGAAUUCCCUGUUUUCUGGAGGAUUUUCUGGAAGUUUCCCCGGAUUUUCCAGGCGGUUUUUCCCAUUUUUUCCAGGCGGUUUUCUGGAAUUUUCCAAGAGGUUUUCCCUGAAUUUUCCAGGAUGUUUUUCUGGAUUUUCCAGGAUGUUUUCCGGGG
rnacentral:lncRNA from 1 species